rnacentral:rRNA from 1 species
UUAGAGUUUGAUCCUGGCUCAGGAUGAACUUUAGCGGCAGGCUUAACACAUGCAAGUCGAGGGGCAGCGCGAGUAGCAAUACUUGGCGGCGACCGGCGCAAGGGUGCGUAACACGUGAGUAACAUACCUGUAUCAGGGGGAAUAAGCCAUGGAAACGUGGUCUAAAACCGCAUAAUAUGAACUAUAGGCAUCUAUAGAUUAUUAAAAUUACGAUGGAAACAGAUUGGCUCGCGGAACAUUAGCUAGUUGGUAAGGUAACGGCUUACCAAGGCGACGAUGUUUAGGGGUUCUGAGAGGAAGGUCCCCCACACUGGAACUGAGACACGGUCCAGACUCCUACGGGAGGCAGCAGUGAGGAAUAUUGGACAAUGGAUGGAAAUCUGAUCCAGCCAUGCCGCGUGAAGGAUAAGGUCCUAUGGAUUUUCAACUUCUUUUGUAUGGGAGCAAUAAGGUCUACGCGUAGACUGAUGGGAGUACCAUACGAAUAAGCAUCGGCUAACUCCGUGCCAGCAGCCGCGGUAAUACGGAGGAUGCAAGCGUUAUCCGGAUUUAUUGGGUUUAAAGGGUGCGUAGGCGGAAGGAUAAGUCAGCGGUGAAACGUACGGGCUCAACCCGUGAACUGCCGUUGAAACUGUUCAUCUGGAAUGCGGAUGCUGUGGGAGGAAUGUGUAGUGUAGCGGUGAAAUGCAUAGAUAUUACACAGAACACCGAUUGCGAAGGCAUCUCACAAAACCGCGAUUGACGCUGAGGCACGAAAGUGUGGGGAUCGAACAGGAUUAGAUACCCUGGUAGUCCACACAGUA